GAUGAACGUUGGCGGUGCGCCUAAUACAUGCAAGUCGAACGGAGACAGUAGCAAUAUUGUCUUAGUGGCGAACGGGUGAGUAACGCGUUGGUGAUCUGCCUCGAAGUGUGGAAUAACGUUCCGAAAGGAAUGCUAAUACCGCAUAGUCUUCCAGUUUUUAGAAAGCUGGAAGUAAAGGAGUAAUUCGCUUCGAGAGGAGCCUGCGUCCCAUCAGCUAGUUGGUAAGGUAAUGGCUUACCAAGGCUAUGACGGGUAGGGGACCUGAGAGGGUGGCCCCCCACAAUGGAACUGAAACACGGUCCAUACACCUACGGGUGGCUG
rnacentral:rRNA from 1 species